rnacentral:rRNA from 1 species
ACUCAAAUGAAUUGACGGGGGCCCGCACAAGCGGUGGAUCAUGUGGUUUAAUUCGAAGCAACGCGAAAAACCUUACCUGGGUUUGACAUCUCUGGACCGCCGUAGAGAUACGGUUUCGGUAGCAAUACCGCCAGAUGACAGGUGCUGCAUGGCUGUCGUCAGCUCGUGUGGUGACAUGUUGGGUUAAGUCCCGCAACGAGCGCAACCCUUGUCUUUAGUUGCCAGCAUUCAGUUGGGCUCUCUAAAGAGACUGCCGUGGUUAACACGGAGGAAGGUGGGGAUGACGUCAAGUCCUCAUGGCCUUUAUAUCCAGGGCGACACACGUGAUACAAUGGAUGGUACAGAGGGACGCUAACCCGCGAGGGGGAGCUAAUCUCAAAAAGCCAUUCUCAGUUCGGAUUGGAGUCUGCAACUCGACUCCAUGAAGUUGGAAUCGCUAGUAAUCGCGGAUCAGCACGCCGCGGUGAAUACGUUCCCGGGCCUUGCACACACCGCCCGU